rnacentral:rRNA from 1 species
UACAGAGGUCGUCAAGCGUUGUUCGGAUUCAUUGGGCGUAAAGGGAGCGUAGGUGGCGGGGUAAGUCAGGUGUGAAAUCUCGGGGCUCAACCCCGAACUGCACCCGAUACUGCCUUGCUAGAGUACUGGAGAGGAGAUUGGAAUUUACGGUGUAGCAGUGAAAUGCGUAGAUAUCGUAAGGAAGACCAGUGGCGAAGGCGAAUCUCUGGACAGUUACUGACACUGAGGCUCGAAGCCAGGGAGCAAACGGG